rnacentral:lncRNA from 10 species
AAAAUAUUUAUAGAUGUACAUUUGAGUGUACAGUUAGGAUCUGAUGUGGAACAUUGUAAGAUCAUUGCUAGAAAAACUUUGUCAUAAUUUUUCAAUAUUAUUCUAAGUGAAUAACCGUAAAGAUUUUACAUCUUAGCUUCCUUCCUUACAGUAAAAAAACUAUCUGAUCUCUUGAUCAGUAUUAUAGUAGCCACCUAUCACUUUAUCUUAACAAAUUCUCAAUUCCUUAGGUUUAUGUGCUUUUACUUCUUUUAUUUGAUUAAAAUUGCUGUCAUGACCUCUCUCUGCAGAGGGCUGCAUCAUUUUGGUCAUUCUCAAGUGAUCUCUUUGAGCAAUUUAAGAAUUGCCAUAAGAUUCUAACCUCUGCUGUAACUAUGGUUGUGUGUUCUUGGUUAGACCACUAAAUCUUAUUAGCAGUUUUAAAAAUUAUUCCUUUUGGUUUAGAAGUUAAGACUAAAUGCUGAAGUUUUUGUAACUUUUGGUUUUGAUAUCAUUUCAAACUUAAGAAAACAUUUGAAGAAAAGGACAAAGAAUUUCCACUUACCCUUUACCCAGGUUUACCAGUUAUUGAUAAGUAUAUCCAUUUGCUUUACCAGAAGGCUAACUUGUUUUAGUUCUCAUUUUCACCUUUGAGACAUUUGGAAUAAAUAUCAAUGUUAACAUAAAUUGGAAUUUUGACUUUGAUUUUAGGACCAAUGAACAAGCCAAGUACUUACCCUAGUCAUAUAUAAUCCAACUGUAUGGUUAUUUGGUAUUCAUUCCACACUUCAUUUUACUUGAUCUCCCUUAAGAUUGCAAGAUUGUGUUUGCAGUUUUUCUGAAAAUCUGGGGCUAUAAAAGCAUCAGGACCUCCCCCGUAGGGGAGGUCGU